UUAAAUAAAAGUCUCUAAGGUCUUAACUGUAAGACCACUUUAAACCACAACAAACCUGCCUGCCAAUGUAUGAACAUUUCUACCCUCAGAUAGAAGAACACCAAGCAAGAAAAGAGGCAGAAAAAGUAAGAUGCACACAAACCCCCCAUAUAUGCAGAAGUGGCUGAAGGACAAAAAUUGAGUAAUUAUGCAGAGAUCAAGAAAAAUAAAUGUGAUAUGAAAC